rnacentral:tRNA from 1 species
GCCGGAGUAGCUCAGCUGGUUAGAGCAGCGGAAUCAUAAUCCGAAGGCCGUGGGUUCGAGUCCCUCCUCCGGCA